AGUGUCUAGCGAGACUGCCGGUAACAAGCCGGAGGAAGGUGCGGAUGAUGUCAAGUCAGCAUGGCCUAUAUGUCCAGGGCUACACACACGCUACAAUGGCUGGUACAAAGGGAAGCGAAAGGGAGACCUGAAGCGAAUCCCAUCAAAGCCAGUCAUAGUUCGGAUUGCAGGCUGCAACUCGCCUGCAUGAAGCCGGAGUUGCUAGUAACCGCAGGUCAGCAAUACUGCGGUGAAUACGUUCCCGGGCCUUGUACACA
rnacentral:rRNA from 1 species